rnacentral:misc_RNA from 1 species
GAUGAAGAACGUAGCGAAAUGCGAUACGUAAUGUGAAUUGCAGAAUUCAGUGAAUCAUCGAGUCUUUGAACGCACAUUGCGCCCCCUGGUAUUCCGGGGGGCAUGCCUGUCCGAGCGUCAUUGCUGCCCUCAAGCACGGCUUGUGUGUUGGGCCUCCGUCCUCCUCCCGGGGGACGGGCCCGAAAGGCAGCGGCGGCACCGCGUCCGGUCCUCGAGCGUAUGGGGCUUCGUCACCCGCUCUUGUAGGCCCGGCCGGCGCUUGCCGACACAUCAAUCUUUUUUCCAGGUUGACCUCGGAUCAGGUAGGGAUACCCGCUGAACUUAAGCAUAUCAAUAAACGGAGGA